AGCGUACACGGUGGAUGCCCUGGCAGUCAGAGGCGAUGAAGGACGUGCUAAUCUGCGAUAAGCGUCGGUAAGGUGAUAUGAACCGUUAUAACCGGCGAUUUCCGAAUGGGGAAACCCAGUGUGAUUCGUCACACUAUCAUUAACUGAAUCCAUAGGUUAAUGAGGCGAACCGGGGGAACUGAAACAUCUAAGUACCCCGAGGAAAAGAAAUCAACCGAGAUUCCCCCAGUAGCGGCGAGCGAACGGGGAGCAGCCCAGAGCCUGAAUCAGUGUGUGUGUUAGUGGAAGCGUCUGGAAAGGCGCGCGAUACAGGGUGACAGCCCCGUACACAAAAAUGCACAUGCUGUGAGCUCGAUGAGUAGGGCGGGACACGUGGUAUCCUGUCUGAAUAUGGGGGGACCAUCCUCCAAGGCUAAAUACUCCUGACUGACCGAUAGUGAACCAGUACCGUGAGGGAAAGGCGAAAAGAACCCCGGCGAGGGGAGUGAAAAAGAACCUGAAACCGUGUACGUACAAGCAGUGGGAGCACGCUUAGGCGUGUGACUGCGUACCUUUUGUAUAAUGGGUCAGCGACUUAUAUUCUGUAGCAAGGUUAACCGAAUAGGGGAGCCGAAGGGAAACCGAGUCUUAACUGGGCGUUAAGUUGCAGGGUAUAGACCCGAAACCCGGUGAUCUAGCCAUGGGCAGGUUGAAGGUUGGGUAACACUAACUGGAGGACCGAACCGACUAAUGUUGAAAAAUUAGCGGAUGACUUGUGGCUGGGGGUGAAAGGCCAAUCAAACCGGGAGAUAGCUGGUUCUCCCCGAAAGCUAUUUAGGUAGCGCCUCGUGAAUUCAUCUCCGGGGGUAGAGCACUGUUUCGGCAAGGGGGUCAUCCCGACUUACCAACCCGAUGCAAACUGCGAAUACCGGAGAAUGUUAUCACGGGAGACACACGGCGGGUGCUAACGUCCGUCGUGAAGAGGGAAACAACCCAGACCGCCAGCUAAGGUCCCAAAGUCAUGGUUAAGUGGGAAACGAUGUGGGAAGGCCCAGACAGCCAGGAUGUUGGCUUAGAAGCAGCCAUCAUUUAAAGAAAGCGUAAUAGCUCACUGGUCGAGUCGGCCUGCGCGGAAGAUGUAACGGGGCUAAACCAUGCACCGAAGCUGCGGCAGCGACGCUUAUGCGUUGUUGGGUAGGGGAGCGUUCUGUAAGCCUGUGAAGGUGUACUGUGAGGUAUGCUGGAGGUAUCAGAAGUGCGAAUGCUGACAUAAGUAACGAUAAAGCGGGUGAAAAGCCCGCUCGCCGGAAGACCAAGGGUUCCUGUCCAACGUUAAUCGGGGCAGGGUGAGUCGACCCCUAAGGCGAGGCCGAAAGGCGUAGUCGAUGGGAAACAGGUUAAUAUUCCUGUACUUGGUGUUACUGCGAAGGGGGGACGGAGAAGGCUAUGUUGGCCGGGCGACGGUUGUCCCGGUUUAAGCGUGUAGGCUGGUUUUCCAGGCAAAUCCGGAAAAUCAAGGCUGAGGCGUGAUGACGAGGCACUACGGUGCUGAAGCAACAAAUGCCCUGCUUCCAGGAAAAGCCUCUAAGCAUCAGGUAACAUCAAAUCGUACCCCAAACCGACACAGGUGGUCAGGUAGAGAAUACCAAGGCGCUUGAGAGAACUCGGGUGAAGGAACUAGGCAAAAUGGUGCCGUAACUUCGGGAGAAGGCACGCUGAUAUGUAGGUGAAGUCCCUCGCGGAUGGAGCUGAAAUCAGUCGAAGAUACCAGCUGGCUGCAACUGUUUAUUAAAAACACAGCACUGUGCAAACACGAAAGUGGACGUAUACGGUGUGACGCCUGCCCGGUGCCGGAAGGUUAAUUGAUGGGGUCAGCGCAAGCGAAGCUCUUGAUCGAAGCCCCGGUAAACGGCGGCCGUAACUAUAACGGUCCUAAGGUAGCGAAAUUCCUUGUCGGGUAAGUUCCGACCUGCACGAAUGGCGUAAUGAUGGCCAGGCUGUCUCCACCCGAGACUCAGUGAAAUUGAACUCGCUGUGAAGAUGCAGUGUACCCGCGGCAAGACGGAAAGACCCCGUGAACCUUUACUAUAGCUUGACACUGAACAUUGAGCCUUGAUGUGUAGGAUAGGUGGGAGGCUUGGAAGUGUGGACGCCAGUCUGCAUGGAGCCGACCUUGAAAUACCACCCUUUAAUGUUUGAUGUUCUAACGUUGACCCGUAAUCCGGGUUGCGGACAGUGUCUGGUGGGUAGUUUGACUGGGGCGGUCUCCUCCUAAAGAGUAACGGAGGAGCACGAAGGUUGGCUAAUCCUGGUCGGACAUCAGGAGGUUAGUGCAAUGGCAUAAGCCAGCUUGACUGCGAGCGUGACGGCGCGAGCAGGUGCGAAAGCAGGUCAUAGUGAUCCGGUGGUUCUGAAUGGAAGGGCCAUCGCUCAACGGAUAAAAGGUACUCCGGGGAUAACAGGCUGAUACCGCCCAAGAGUUCAUAUCGACGGCGGUGUUUGGCACCUCGAUGUCGGCUCAUCACAUCCUGGGGCUGAAGUAGGUCCCAAGGGUAUGGCUGUUCGCCAUUUAAAGUGGUACGCGAGCUGGGUUUAGAACGUCGUGAGACAGUUCGGUCCCUAUCUGCCGUGGGCGCUGGAGAACUGAGGGGGGCUGCUCCUAGUACGAGAGGACCGGAGUGGACGCAUCACUGGUGUUCGGGUUGUCAUGCCAAUGGCACUGCCCGGUAGCUAAAUGCGGAAGAGAUAAGUGCUGAAAGCAUCUAAGCACGAAACUUGCCCCGAGAUGAGUUCUCCCUGACUCCUUGA
rnacentral:rRNA from 1 species